GUUCCAUUCGUCUAGUCUGGUUAGGACACGACCCUUUCAAGGUUGAAACACCGGUUCGAAUCCGGUAUGGAACGCCA
rnacentral:tRNA from 1 species